rnacentral:tRNA from 1 species
GGCCUCGUAGCUUAGCCUGGCUUGAGCGCACGACUGAUAAUCGUGAGGUCCCCAGCAAACUUUUGGCGACGCAAAAGUUUGAUAAAAAGUCACUCUGGUGGGGCAUAAAGUCCCACGACAUACGAAAUGCCAAGAGUUUGGGGAAUUCAAAUCUGGGCGGGGCCA